rnacentral:sRNA from 1 species
CAAUGAAUACCGACCUUCAGCCGCACGCUGCGAGUACUGCCCGGAUGGCCUCCGGCAUGACCUCGCGUGCGCGCCGACCGGAAUCCCACCUUUCCGCUGGGUGACCGGAGCGUCGUGCCGUCCG